rnacentral:rRNA from 1 species
UAGGGAAUCUUCGGCAAUGGACGAAAGUCUGACCGAGCAACGCCGCGUGAGUGAAGAAGGUUUUCGGAUCGUAAAACUCUGUUGUUAGAGAAGAACAAGGACGUUAGUAACUGAACGUCCCCUGACGGUAUCUAACUAGAAAGCCACGGCUAACUACGUGCCAGCAGCCGCGGUAAUACGUAGGUGGCAAGCGUUGUCCGGAUUUAUUGGGCGUAAAGCGAGCGCAGGCGGUUUCUUAAGUCUGAUGUGAAAGCCCCCGGCUCAACCGGGGGGGGUCAUUGGAAACUGGGAGACUUGAGUGCAGAAGAGGAGAGUGGAAUUCCAUGUGUAGCGGUGAAAUGCGUAGAUAUAUGGAGGAACACCAGUGGCGAAGGCGGCUCUCUGGUCUGUAACUGACGCUGAGGCUCGAAAGCGUGGGGAGCAAACAGG